GAGAGAAAAAAAAGUUUGAGAGAGAGUUUAAGAGAGUAUAAUGAAAUAGGGGGGAAGAAUGACUUAAAUAGAAUGAGAAAGGGCUCCAACGGUCAAAUUGACCGUUGGAGCACUGUAGCACUGCUAUAGUGUGGUAACGACCGUUGGAGCAUUGUAGCACUGCUACAGUGUGGUAACGAUCGAAAUCGACCGUUACCGCUAGAUAUUACAUCGUAUCGUUCGAUAUGAGAUUUUUUUGAAUGUACCGCUCGGUAGCGGGCGGUCUGCGUACCGGUAUGUACCGCCCGUACCGGGCGGUAUAAUUCGGUAUUGCAGACCUUGGUCAUGAAUAUAGAAAUUCAGAAAAUAAAUCUAUCUGAGAUAUUUUUUUUCUGCUGUUAUGUAGUCCAUUCUCUAAUCUUAUAUAGGAAAUAUUUUAUUGAUGUCAGUUAUCUAGUUUUACGUGACAUGCCAUAUUUAGUAAUUUGUGCAUCUCUGUGUAUUUGCCUCGUUCAAGAUUCAGAUUGUUCAUUGUACCAACAACAACAAGAAGUGAAGAUAUCAUGGGUAGCUACUAUCAUUUUCUAAAAUGUUGUAUGAUUGGUUAUAACCAUUGAGUGUCAUACAAUUUCAACAAGGGUGAUUUUGAUUUAUUUACUCUCAAGUGUUGGUGCUAUCAGUUUUUUUGGUUAUGUUAAUGUUGCUCUGAGCUAGGAACUAGGUCAGAGUUUUUUUAAAAAAAAUUGAAGAGAAUCUCAAGAAGUAAGAAAUCAUGAAGACAAAUGUCCAUCUUUAAAUAUUUUUGUGAUUUUAAAUGGAAUAUUAAAUGCAAAGCUACCUUUCUUGUGAUCUUAGAGUUCUCUCUUGGUGAUUGUUAUUUGUCAUAGCUUGAUAAGAUUAGUAACCAGAUGACACUCACUUAAUAUGGGUUGUUUCUCUUUUAUUUUCAAAAUUUGCUAUCAAGUAGAUGCUAAUGCAGACAAAUUCCAAUGAUUUAUGACCUCUCCUCGACCUUUAGGUAUUAAUGUUGGUGUGUUUGUCUUAAUGAAAUUUGGGACUCAAUUGCUGAUGGUUUCAGCUUGGUCAUUUCUCAGAUGAUGGCGAUUGCAAUAUGUGGAUAUGGAAUUAUGGGAUAGUGUCACUUGGUAGAAUGUUUUUUCUUUGAUUAUUAGCUCUUAUGUUGUCUAGAUUCAACUUCCAAUAGCAUUUUGUAGUGCUUGUGAUCAAGAUUUUAGUUAUGCUCACUGAUCCGAAGUUUUUGUUUAUGUUCACUUAUCCAAAUUGAGAGAUUUACAUGAGCUCUUGAAAUGUUGCUGAAGUCAAGUCUGCAAUUUUGUGCCCUUAACAUUGGAACUAUAAAUUUUUAUGAUGUGUUGUUAGCAAGAAGUUCUUAUGCAUUUAUGAUGCAAUUAUUACUAUAGUUAAUAAGGUUUUAUAAUGUGGCAUUUUAUAUUGUUUGCUAUGCUUUAGCUAAAUUGACUUUACUCAACUCGAUACUCAAAGAACAUCCUUGUGUAAUUUUUACGGUCCUUUUUGCUUAUCAUGUUAUUACUUCUAAAAUAAUUAAUUUGUAAUUCUAUGAUGGUAAAUGUACAAUGUGAAAUAUUAAGUGUAAAUAAAAUCUCACUCAAAUUGAAAUGACUAGCAAAGCAAAUUAUAAAGGUAUCGUACAAAGCUAGUUGUUAAUUGGAACAUAUUUGUGCAGCAUUCAACUGAUAUCUCAAUAAAAGAUGCUUCUUAAUCAGGUUAAAACACAUGUACUUAUCCAUACAUUUUGAAGGUACACUCAAUCAGUUACGUUUUGAUAUGGUAAUUUGAAACUUUUAUUUUUAGUCUCCAUAGGUUAGGCUUUGUAGAAUCACUAGAUUUGGGUAUAAAAGUAGAUGCAUAACUGAAUCAUGACACUUUUGGCUCAUAUCAUAUUAUUUUUUAUCACUAAAUAGAAAGCUAGCUACUUAGUUUUGAUGAACAUCUUCUAUUGUUUAUAAAGCAAAUUGUCAUGCCCUGUAAUUCUUUAUGUUAUUUUUCUUCUUUUAUUUUUUCAUGUAAUAUGGUAUCAAAACUUAAUCGUUGACCCGUAUGCUCGUCCCUCUUGGAUUUGUAUGCUAUGUUUGUAUGUAGUUGUUUUUGCUUUUCAUGUACUUUCCAACUUCCAUGAAUGAAUUGAAUAUUGGUACUAAUUUUAACGCAAUAUGAUGUGAUAUAACACAAAAAUACAAAAAUUGUUAGUUGACCGGUACGGGGCGGUCCGCGUACGGGGCGGUCCGCGUACCGACAACUUGUCGGACCGGUACGUACCGCCCGUACCGGGCGGUAUGGCUCGGUACGGCAAACCCUGAUUUCAACCUAAGAGAACUGUAAACCACAGUAUAUUUCAUAAUAGUAAAGAGAUACCAAACAAAUAAAUCUAUGAGCUUGAUAAAGGUGAGGCAUUGUAAUUCUGUUUAUUAUGUUUUUCCCUGUGAAAUGAAUAAAAAUAUCAAAUUUAUAUGUCUUUCCAUGAAUAGACUAGGUCUUCUGCAACAUAGAUACACUUCUAAUCCUAAGAUAGGGCUAGAAAACUGGUGCCAAAUGGGAUAUAAUGUAGGUUCUAAAUUUUGGAAGUUAGCUUACUAGAUCAAUAGUUCACAAAUGCUUCAUUAUGGUGAUAGUGGAGUAGUUCGGGUCCUUCCGAUUAACAGGAUCUUCAUUGAAUCUGAAGGUUCUGAUUUGUGAUUGUUUCAGUCUAUGGGAUUUAUCUUGCUGAAUCAGUUGUAGCUGUAGAAGAGUAGUAGCAAUGUUCAUGAGCUUGAUAGACAAGCUUGUUAUGUUUCAUAUAAAUGUUCACCAAUUAAUGACAUGGCUACUAUUUCAGUAUUUUUUCAAUUCUGCUGUUGUGGUCAUUUACCACAAGUUUCAGCAUCCAAGCACUAUAUCUGAAAUUUUCCUUUUGUAAGUAUAACACCGACCUUUGAGUUGGUAUUUCUUGUUUCCAACUUCCCAAUUUGUUUACUGAGAUUAAGGUAGUAGCAACGGUUGUGAUUAUUUAUUGUGAUUCCAGUAAUAUCACAUGUGGUACCAAGUUUGAAUUUGACAUGAUAAUUCCGAUUGAAUUAUUGAAGUCAUCAUUUUUUUAAUAAUAUAUUGAUGGUCUUGUUGGAUGUAAUGGAGAAACAAAAUGAAUAUUGGGUAAGCAUUUGAAGUCUCCAUCUCCAAAGUUACCAUCCCUUCCAACACCUCUACCUCUGUGCCUCUUGCUAUCGUCAUGUACAUCUUGUAAACUAUCAUUGGCCUUAUGGACAAGGCUAAUGCAGUGGAGAUUGAUGAUCCUCAGGAAACUCCAGAGCCUGAUCAAGACAAACAAGAAGCUCAUGGCCAAUGGUGCGUGCAUCCUUUGCAAGAAGGGGAUGGUGUAUAUACCAAGGUUCGUAAUACGGUACCGUACCGUACCGGUAUUUCGACCUGGGCUCGAUACCGGUACGGUACGGUAUACCGAGCGGUACACCUAGGUGUACCGAGUACUGUAGCACUGCUACAGUACUACAGUACACUCGGACCGAUAACAGUCGGUCCGCGUACCGACAACCUGUCGGACCGGUACGUACCACCUGUACCGGGCGGUAUGGCUCGGUACGACAGACCCACUAUAUACAACCUUCUUUUUCUCUUGAUUAGUGGUUAUUGGUGUUUGAAUUGUAAAACUAGAAAUCAGUUUUAUGUUGUGAAAUUAUGCAUCGAAGAACAAGAGAAUGAAUGUCUGACAAAUUACCAAUGAGAUCAUCUAGUAUUUUUUUUAUUAAUGCACAUAUGCUUAGCUCACCCUUGUUAUGCAGAAUAAUAGUUAUUCAUACUGGUCAGAUUUUUUUUGUUUCCCUCGUGUUUCAAAUGGUUUGAAAAUUUCGUGCUUGACGUGGAGCCAUCCAGAAAAGAUCCAUCUACUAGGUGCUUGUUAGUGUUUGACUUGAAGCCUCACACUUUGGAUAAAAAUUUGAGAGAAUUUGUACAUGAAUGAACAACCAGUGUACUUUUUUUUCCCAAAAGUGGACAAAUUUAUAUAUCCAAGCUGAUAUUCUAGAUAUUGUUUGUCAAAAAUGAACUAACAAAAUGAAAGAAUGCAGGAAGAACUCGUAAGAUUCUGAACGUUUACAUCUUGGGGCAAUGUAUCAUUCGAACCAGAAGCUUAGCUUAAACACACACUUUACCUUCAUUUGAAUUAGUGAAUUGGUCCCCCAUCUCUCUCUCUCUGUUAAGCCUUCUGAAUUUGUUAAUGAAAUAUUGCAAAUUGUUUUGAAGAGUUCAAUUAUUUCAAGAAUUACUUCAAUGCAUUUUAUUGGUAUACUAAGUGAACUGAUUUUCCAAAAAAUUUAGAAGUCAUAUGUUAAUUUAUAAGUAAACCAAAGGGACGUCGCUUGUUUUUUUGCCCGCGUAGGAGAAAAACCCUCCCCCCGCACCAAAAAGGGUGACGAGGCAAUCGCCCCUUUUUAUGUUAUAUAUAUAUAUAUGUAUAUGUAUAUAUAUAUGUGUAUAUAUAUAUAUAUAUAUAUAUAGAUAUCAAAUGUACCUCUCGGUAUACAGUACCAUAUCGUACCGAGCGAAUCUCAAAACUCCGAUAUUGUAUGAAAUUUCAAUCCUUGUCCUCAACAUUCAUUUAUUAUUCAUUAUAAUCCUUGUCCUGAACAUAUAUUUGUUAUUCAUUAUAAGUUUUUGGCUUUUGUAUAUUGGAUCUUAAAUUGCUAAACUAAAAAUGUAAGUAUUGGAAUGAAAUCCUACAGAAAGAAACAAGAUGUCUAAUUAGUUUAUGUCAACUAAUCUAGACAAAAGUAAAUAAAUAAUGGGUCGGACGGAUAGUUUACAUUAUAUGAUUCAAGUUUCAAAAAUUCUAUAUAUUCUUGCAAAACUCUUAGGAUAUGCCGAAAUAAAAGUUGCAAUUGAUCACAACAAGAAAAAAGAUAUAACUUAAUUCCUCGAUGGUGUGACAAAAUUUGAACAUUUUUUUUGUAUUACAAUAUAUGUCUCUUUAACUCAAGUCCAUGAUAGUGUAAUCAAUUUAAUUGUCUUCUUUUAUAUAAAUUAUUAUCUGAAAGAGUCUUCCCGUAUUUUCUUAAUUUCUGAUUUUUUUUAUUUUAGUACACUUGUUAAUGGAGCUAUCUCUUGAUCUUCCAAGGCAUUCCCUCAUUAAGAUAUUAGGACAAGCUACCCAGUUGAUAUAUGGAUCUGAAAAUUGAAUAAAAGUUACAUAAAGAUUGCAUCUUUCAUGAAACAAAUAGGAUAAAUAUUUAUAUAGUUGGGUUUCCUUACCACAAAUGGAGUACCAAUAGACUAGGUUAAUUAAAAAUGUUCUCACCUUGAACGUUAGGCAGGAGGCAAGGUUAGGAGGAACAAAUUUAAAUGGACAAAUUUAUCUUAUAUAAGUAUGUGUUAGACGUAAAUAAAUUUUUGCUUAGUUGUAAACAAGAUGAAACAUGUUCAAUCUAGUAGAGUUAUUAUGUUGAUGUGAAUGCCUCAAUCGAGAACUUCAUUUUCUCUAGGUUUUUCUGCAUUGGAAGUCGUUGUGUCAUAGGUUAGUGAUAUGUUCAGAGAUGGCUAUGCUUAAUUUCCCCCUUUCUCCACCAAAAUCACAGCCAUAGAGAAAACAAACUUUCUUAUGUUUUUAUGUGUUGGCAAAAAAAUGUUUCUCAUUGUUAGGUUUAAAAAAGCGAGUAGUGCCAUGAUUCAAAGGCCUCUUUGUUGUCUAAUUAGACAGAAGUAUACUUAUUUUUCGGAUCUACAAUUGUCACUUUUAAAUUCCUUCUAGGUGUUUCAAUUUUGAUCUUUCUCAAAGAAAAUUAGUUUCUUUACUUGAUUUCUUGUUAUGAGUACUAAUGUUUCUAACACCGCCAAUGUCGGUCCCAAGCCCGAAUGAAAAAGGUGGAGGGUUGCUUAAGGCCAUAAAAAGCCAGUGUUGAAAACAUGUUAGUACUCAUAAGCAUGAUCCUAACUGUUUCAUGGUAAGACUAGUCCGUCACAAUAAAUUGAUGCAACGUAUAUUGACCUCUCCAGUUAUUAUGAGAAAUAGAGUUUUCUGUUCCUAAUUCUAACAUUUAAAGUGCCCAUUAGUUCUUUAAAUCAAGGUCUGCAAUACCGAAUGAUACUGCUCGUACCGAGCGGUACAUACCGGUCCGUCAAUAGACCAGUACACGGACCGCCCGCUACCGAGCGGUACCAUCAAUUAAGGCAUUAUCGUUAUCGAUUGAGGUGUUAUUAUCGACGGUGAUCGAGGGAGAAGAAAGAAGAGGGAGAAGAUGAAGAAAGAAAUAGGAAAUAAAGGUAGAACCUGGAUGUCACCUCUCUCCUCCUCGCCUGUCGACUUCUCAUCUGUGCGCGGGAGAAGAUGCAUCGGCUUGUGGGGCGGAGAGAAGCGAAGAUUUUUUUUUUUUUCUUCUCUUCUUGGGUAAUGUCGCCUCGGGCAUCAUCGCAAUAUUUUUGUUUUUUAGAUUUCAUAAUUUUUUUUUAUCUGCGACGUCGCCCCGCAUAGAGGUAAACUGUGCGGUUUACCUAUAUAUAUAUAUAUAUAUAUAUACACACACACACACACAGCGGUAUACCAAAAUAUACCACUCGGUAUAUAGUAUCAUACCGUAUCGAAUUAGUCUUGAAAUUUUGGUAUGGUACAAAAUUUCAAUCCUUGAUUUAAGUGACGUCUUUUAUGGACUAACAUGCAAAUAUCGGGACUAUGUAACUUAUAUAUCAUGAACUAGCAUUGUCCAUAAUGUAAGUUACUCAUCUAAGAAACCAACAAGUAUGCUUUCUAUGGAUGAUAAUUGUUAGGACGGGAAACCACAGCAUGUGGAUAAGGUUCUUAAUGGUGAAAUUUUAUAGGUUGGAUCAAGGUAUGCAAUACCGUACCGUAUUAGUAUUUCGAGGUUGGCUCGGUAUGGUACAGUACUGUAUACCGAGCGGUACGCUAGGGUGUACCAAGCGGUACACCUAAUUUAGGUGUAAGACCCUCCGAAAAUACCUAAAAAUAAAAAAAAAAGUUAGGAUAGGAUUUUUAAGUUAGAAAUAAAUAUAGUAAUAGCAUAAGUUUAGUAAAAUCAAUGUAAAUUAGGUAAGAAUAGUAUCACAUAUUUUUUUCAGGCUUUGAAGAAUAUCUUAUGCAAGGUUCGUAUUUCAAUUCAGUACGGAUUAUCCUUAUGUAAACAUACCUCUUGAUUAGAAAGUUCUUCCUCUUAAUCUUUCUAAAUUAGCCUCGAUUCAAUUCACAAAUCGUUGUUUUGUAGAGUUUAGGAGAGCACAAAUGUGAGAAAAAAAGAGUUUGAGAUAGUUUAAGAGAGUAUGAGAAUGUAAUGGAGUGAAAUAAAGGAGAAGAAGGGUUUAAAUACCAUAAGAAAGGGUUCCAACAGUCAAUUUGACCAUUGGAGCACUGUAUCACUAUUACCGAGCGGUUUUAAAUAUUUCUUCCUCUUACUGUAGCAUUGUAGCACUCUAGCAUGUUCUAUCUGGUAGCGGGCGGUUCGCGUAUCGGUAUGUCGUCGGAUCGGUACGUAUCGCCCGUACCGGGUGGUACCAUUCUAAAUUGGUUGGAUCAAGAUUGACAAUCCUUGGAACAUGAUGAGAUAAACUACUCCACUUUAUUUGACUUUGUGAACUAAAACUUGAUGGUUAAUUUUUUUUUUAACUUUUUAUUGGCAGCUGCAAUGACAUAUAUGAAUCUCCAAUUGAAUUGUGAGAGACACGAUGGCUAUGCAGGUCCAUUUCUCAAAGGAUUUGGACUGCCAUUUACAAGGACAAGUCUCCACAUUGUUAGUUACAGAUGUUCUUCUGUUUCUUCUUUGCAUUUUGUUCUGUAAUAUUUUGUGUCAAACAUUGAAAUAAUUAUAGAUGAUGUGUUCCAUAUUACUUAAUAGAAAUUCUUUUGCUUUUUGGCUUUCCACGUGUUCAAAAGUGUUCUUUCUUAGUUUAGAGGAUUCCACAAUAAGUUUAUGAAGAAACUAAUGUUAAUUAAAUUAUUUUUUCAUGCAUAUUAUGUGAAUGGAUAUGGUUUCUUAUCAAAUCAAUUUACAACCUGAUUUGGCAAUUUUGUACUUGAAUAGUUGGGUCUGUCUUCAAUAUUUGAUGAAAUUGUUAAAACUGAAGUAACCAGGCACAUGCAACUUAAUGAUUACUUGAGCUUGUUUGGGGAAGAAUUCAAAUGAACUGAAGAUUAUUAGGAUGCUUCUUAUUUGAAUGUCUUGGAUAUAUCUGCAGCGGAAGAAGGCAGUCCUCAUGUCUUAUUUGGAUGUGCUUCACAAGUAUGUUCUAAAUGAUCACCUACCCUAUAAUGUUUUUUAAACUAAUUAUCCUGUUUUUUUCCUAUUGGAAUAACUUUUAGCCACCAGGAGUCUGCUUCUGUAACUAAAUUGCCGAGUGUUUACAUUCUUUUAUAAUGAAUAGAUAGCUUCUCCUGUUCUGCAAAUUGGCUAACAGUAAUUCAAAAUUUUCGUCCCUAUUACCACUUAUACAAGCACUGCUUCCAGGUGAAAGGUCUCUGUUUUAAGUUAAAACUUUUAACACCUUUUACUAGUUUAUAUAUUAAUUAAUUUGGAUGGAUUCUGAUUUCCUUUCAUUUGAUGGCACGUCUUCCUCCAAUUAGCCUCCUAAAUCAAGUUGAUGAUAGUUUUUCUUUGUCGAAACAUCCUUCUGUCCAGCAUGCUCUCUCUCAGGUUCAGCAGUGAUGCAUCUGGGUGAUAUACGUUACAUGCAUUUGUAUUCUUAUCAAAAGUCUCAACAAUUCAUAUUAAUCUGUUGUUGCAGAUAAUAAUAAUUUCAUCGUCAUCUUCUUAAUGCUUGUGCGGGCUAUCUGUCUUCAUUCUUAUCAUCUCGUGUUUGUUGGUUUCAUACCAAGUUUAAUUAUGAAUAGACAACUUACUUUUUGGCUUUCUUAGUAAGCAUUUAUUUUUCAAUCUUCAGGCAAAAGCAGCAUGUGUAUUGAUUGAUUUAUGCUUUGGACCAUUAUCACCAUGGAUAUAUACAAUUACUGCAAAGGUUGAUCUUGCAAUUGAACUUCCGGAGGACCUCUUGGUGUUAUUCAAGUGUUUUCAUAAUCUGCUAGCCAUGCUUAUGUUGCUUUGAAGCAAGGUAUACAAUUUGAAUGGUACCGCUCGGUACGGACGGUACGUGCCAGUCCGACAGGUUAUCGGUAUGCGGAUUGUCCGUUACCGCCCGGCACAGCUCGGUAACGGUCGAUUUCGACCCUUUCUCAUGUUUUUAAACCCUUCUUCUCUCCUAUUUCACUUCAUUUUAUUCUCACUCUCUUAAACUAUCUCAAACUUUUUUUUUCUCAUAUUUGUGUUAUCCUAAACUCCAUUACACCUAAAUUAGGCGUACCGCUUGGUAUGUCAUACCGUACCAUACCGAACCAACCUCGAAACACCGGUAUGAUAUGGUAUUUCAAUCCUUGCUUUGAAAUAUAUCUUGUUGGUCUUGUCUGGGCAUAUGGAUGAUGUACUGUCAAAAUAUAAGGUUUGACCUAUUGAAGUAUCAAGCAUAAUUUUGCUUACUCUUUCCAGUCAGAUAGAUGAUGCUUUUACCAUCCGUGUAGGAAUUUGAACAUAGGCUUCUAUUUCUUUUGGAGAUGCUAGAACCCUUCCUUGAUCUUGUGAUUACUGGAACAAAGAAUACAACUUCUGCUUAUGAUAUACACUUGGAGAAAUAGAAGAACUGUUGUAUUGCAUUCAAUGUUAUAUGUACUGCAUUAUGAAGGCCUGCCAUUCUUCCUUUUGUGGAAUCUGAAUGGAGACGUGGAUCUAUCGCACCAAGGUCUACUGUAACAGUAUAUGAUAAUAUCAUAGGAAAAAUAAAAAAAACUUUAACAUCUUUAUAGUUUAUACUUUAUAGUGCUUAUUUUUGGAGAUGCAAAGAGAGAGAAUGAAGUGAUCGGUGAAGACUGUAGUUUAAAAAGAUGUGAGAGUCAAAAAAGAAGAAAUUAUUUUUUGUUUUUUUUUCCCUGCAACAAAAAGAAUAUUAUCAAAUGCACCUUGUUGGUUGUUACAUUACUUGGUUUUCAUUUAGCUGACAAUAUACUUGUACUCCUUUUUGUUUUGGGGUCACAUAUGUCAUUUCCUUUAGAUAUUGACCUUUACAAAUGUUCAUUUCCUAAGGUGGCUGAUCAAGAGUCUUUAGCUGUUUCUUCUGACUUUGUGAUAUGUUCUCAUGGGGCUUCUAGCACAUCCAGUAAUCUGGAUGAAGCAAAGAGAAAGAUUGAUGCAUCUAAAGCUGCCACAAGAAAAGAUGUACUCCAAGAUGCUAAUCUGUAGUUUGCUCCUAGAGAUCUGUCAAAAAUUGUUUUGACAAGUGUUUCCAAGGGACUGGAUCAGAUUGAAUUUCGCUUGUGGUGUUUCAGAGGUGAAUAAGAUUUCAAAUAACAACUUUCAGAAUAUUGGUUUCUUUGCUGAUUACUUGUAUUCACAAGCAUAUUAUCUACAACUUGUAAACUAUCAAGAUUCGGUAUAUAGGGCUUCCCAAUUUGAACAUUUGGCAGUUGAUUUGUGUUCCCAGCAUGACAUGACCCUAGAAAGCCAUGAAGCUGCAAUAGAAGCCAUACUCUUGGCUACAGAAUGUUAUGUCAACUCAUUCUUUGAAAAUCAUUGGAUCCAAAUUCAAGAAUAAAAAUGGAUUAGUGGUGUUUUAUAAAGACCUUAAGAGAUGUAAUGUCAAUCUGGAGACAAUAGCUUAUCUUGAAAGUAAAAGAGAUAUAACUGUUCUACAAAUUCUGCUUCCGCUAAACUGGACCUCGAAUCUGGGAGAAUUUUGGCUCUUGGGAAAACCUUGUACAUAUUAUUUUGAAGGUAAUCAGCAGGCUUUGGAAAUAUCACAAGUCGACAUUGAAUCAGCUGAUGUGGCAACAUUGAUUAGGCAGAAUCAACCAUUGCUUUGUCACUUUGUAAUCCUCCUUCAGAGUCUCCCCUCUUUCUACUGCAUUCUGCAACUGAGUUAUCCUGUUCUGUAGAGAAUGUUAAUGACAUUAUACUGCAGUCAGCUGCAAAUCUUAGUGGACAAAUUACAACUUUGUACACCCAACUGAAAGCAAGCAACAUACAGCUUGAAAUGGAAAAGUUACAUGGGCUGCAAAGGUGCUGGGCACUUCUUGAAAGAUUAAUAAUAACAUCUUCUGGAAAUGAUGAACGGACAUAUCCCAUUGGCAUCAAAAGUGCUGGUUUCAUCUACAGAACUUUAUUCCACAUUUAUCGUGGAUGCAGAAAAUAUCCAGAUUUUCAAGUUGCAUAUGUCCAUUUUCUAGAUUUUUAGGAUGGGUGUCAGUAUCUUGAAAUGCAAAGCAAUACUUGAAGGGACACAUGUUUAUUACCUCUGAUCUUU